CAAGUUUGAGACGUGCAUUAUGUAUUCCGAUACAUAGCAAAUUUAAACAAGAAUACUAUUGAUUUUAAAAAAACUAUUGAAUGACAUAAAAAUGUAUGAAUUUUUACAUCAAUAAUUGAAAAAGAUAAAAAGUAAGUUUUUUUAAAACAAUUAUAAUUGUUCACGACGAUUACUCAUAUUUUGAAAUUUUUUUAUGAUGAUUUCACUGUCAAAUAUAUCUUUCUCAAUAUAUGUUGACACGACCCACCCUAAAUUUCACUUUGAAACCCAGAGUAAGUCGUGCGGGGACCAACUCUAAGGAAAAUUUUACCGAAAAAUCGGCAUAACCUCCCUUGAAAGUGGACAACCCUUCCUAAUAAUACAUGCAAAUACUUCUGAAAAUUUAAAUUCAACCUUAAACUCCUGGAGCCUCCGUGCUCCCCAAAUCACAACACCACCUAAAUUAUUUACUAAUCUAAACAAAUCUCAUAUCCAACCAUUUAUAGGUUCAGAGCAACUCUAACAGGAAGAAAGAAAACAUAAUAAAUUAAUAAGCGGAAGCUACAUGAUGACUAUGCCUCAUCCCCAUGUACGCCCGACCUCAACUAUGCAAUCCUGCAAACUGGGCAUUUUUAAAACGAAGUGCCUAGGGGAAAACAUUUGAAACACGUUAGAGUGAGUGGACAAAAACAAAUUAACGAAUAAAAUAUUUAUGUUUCCCCAAAUCAAUUUCCAAGAAAAAUCGAAUGCAUGCUGCAAGCGAUAAAACUUUUAUCUCAUAGAUGUCGAGCCUCUCAGGCUCUAUAAUAUAUGUAUGUAUUUACACACGUCCAUACUCCCUAUAUAAAUUCAUGAGUCUAUAUAGGGCUACUACGCUCGCGUCCAACGCUCACGUCACGCCUUAAUGCGGUGCUACACUACGCCAUUAAGGUGGACAGACGGGUGUAUAAAUAUGUGCCCAUACCCCCUAUAUGUAAUUAAACACUCAUAUAGGGCUACUACG
rnacentral:lncRNA from 1 species